rnacentral:rRNA from 1 species
CAGUAGCCGCGGUAAUACGUAGGGUGCAAGCGUUAAUCGGAAUUACUGGGCGUAAAGCGUGCGCAGGCGGUUAUAUAAGACAGAGGUGAAAUCCCCGGGCUCAACCUGGGAACUGCCUUUGUGACUGCAAGGCUAGAGUACGGCAGAGGGGGAUGGAAUUCCGCGUGUAGCAGUGAAAUGCGUAGAUAUGCGGAGGAACACCGAUGGCGAAGGCAAUCCCCUGGGCCUGUACUGACGCUCAUGCACGAAAGCGUGGGGAGCAAACAGGAUUAGAUACCCCAGUAGUCCCUGUCUCUUAUAC